UGUUAAGUGUAACGGCAUGUCGUGAACGAGGGAAGCACGCCCCUUACAGCAAGUGCGCGGUCCCGUGACUUGCCCGUUAAACCUGGCUGAGUUAAAACUGUUACUCUCGCGCAUAGCUCCGACCUUGCCCACUACGAGGACACGUCAAAUCACAGCUGUACUCUCUCAUUUCGCAGGGUCAGAUCAGCGGAGUCCAGCAUCUUCGUGGCAUAACAGAAGCGGUUCUGGAACGGGAAAGAACGCUUAAGUCGUUUUAUGGAGGCUUGUGGGACGCAACGAAACAUUUCUUAAAGUGUUGGCACUGAGGAUAUCAGUCCAGACCCCCCAUCUGAUUCGGAACAUAGUCUUGUUUGGAUUUCAGCCUGUUUGAAAUGUGGCGUUAUGUGCUCGAGAUAAAUGUGCUAUGUGUGUGAUUUGGAGAGGAUCUUGUGGAAGGUGUCCAGUGGGAAAGAGACUGGGUGGACUCAUCUGCAACUGAUCCCCGUUUUCUGAGCGCAAUGGACUUGGAAUGAAGACAAAACAUGGAUAUAAUCUGGGAAAUAUUUAUUAUCCUUCAAGCCAAUCUCAUCGUUUGCACUUCAGCUCAGCCAAAUCCACCCAAAAUCCACGAGGGAUGGUGGGCUUACAAAGAAGUUGUUCAGGGGAGCUUUGUUCCAGACAUUGUUAUAGAUUGAUUAUUCCCUUUGUUUACCUGGACGUAAAGCUGCAUGGAUACAACAUGACAUUGAAAAUCAGUGUUUGAUCACACUGCUACUUAUACUUGGACUAUGAUUAGAGCUCUUAAAACAAAGAGGGCGGGUUAACAGCAGAAACUGAAAUGUAAGAAAAGGGUUGAAAUGCUUGUAGGAUUCCUCUGUCUUUGUUAAUAAAAUCUGCCCUUGGCUCUUUUUUUAUAUGUUCAGAUUAAGGUGAAAGGUUUACAAGCCAAGAAUCUAAGUAAUUCCUGGUGUUUAAAAUUGUGUAAAUUGUGCUGCUAAUGAAGAUGUUCUGACUUGAGUUAUAGGGAUGUGAGGAUGGUCUUUCUCCUAGUCUUCGGAGGGUUGUAACAGCUGCAGAAGUUUUUUUUUUCUUUCUACCAAUUUUCUUUUAAGUAAAUAUUGUUUUUAACUUUGAAACAAUCAAUUUGUGUCACAGAGAUUCGAAUCAGAUAAAAUGCUGAUUAAAAAUCUAUAAUUGUUUGCCACAUUGGUUC